UGUUUGCUGGUAAAAAUAAAAUUACACCAUACCUUGUAAGCCGCCUUUAUCAUGCCCCAGAAAUAAUUCUUGGUUUGCCUUAUAAUCAUCCAAUGGAUAUGUGGUCUGUUGGUUUCUGUUUGUAUGAGCUAUAUACUGUAAAAGUUCUUUUCCCUGGUACAA